rnacentral:rRNA from 1 species
UAGGGAAUCUUCGGCAAUGGGGGGAACCCUGACCGAGCAACGCCGCGUGAGUGAAGAAGGUUUUCGGAUCGUAAAGCUCUGUUGUUAAGGAAGAACGAGUGUGAGAAUGGAAAGUUCAUACUGUGACGGUACUUAACCAGAAAGGGACGGCUAACUACGUGCCAGCAGCCGCGGUAAUACGUAGGUCCCGAGCGUUGUCCGGAUUUAUUGGGCGUAAAGCGAGCGCAGGCGGUUAGAUAAGUCUGAAGUUAAAGGCAGUGGCUCAACCAUUGUAGGCUUUGGAAACUGUUUAACUUGAGUGCAGAAGGGGAGAGAGGAAUUCCAUGUGUAGCGGUGAAAUGCGUAGAUAUAUGGAGGAACACCGGUGGCGAAAGCGGCUCUCUGGUCUGUAACUGACGCUGAGGCUCGAAAGCGUGGGGAGCGAACAGG